rnacentral:rRNA from 1 species
AUUGAACGCUGGCGGCAUGCCUUACACACGCAAGUCGAACGGUAACAGGUCUUCGGAUGCUGACGAGUGGCGAACGGGUGAGUAAUACAUCGGAACGUGCCUAGUAGUGGGGGAUAACUACUCGAAAGAGUGGCUAAUACCGCAUGAGAUCUACGGAUGAAAGCAGGGGAUCGCAAGACCUUGUGCUACUAGAGCGGCCGAUGGCAGAUUAGGUAGGUGGGGGGAUAAAAGCUUACCAAGCCGACGCUCUGUAGCUGGUCUGAGAGGACGAUCAGCCACACUAGGACUGAGACACGGCCCAGACGCCUACGGGAGGCAGCAGUGGGGAAUUUUGGACAAUGGGCGAAAGCCUGAUCCAGCAAUGCCGCGUGCAGGAUGAAGGCCUUCGGGUUGUAAACUGCUUUUGUACGGAACGAAAAGCCCCGGGUUAAUACCCUGGGGUCAUGACGGUACCGUAAGAAUAAGCACCGGCUAACUACGUGCCAGCAGCCGCGGUAA